rnacentral:misc_RNA from 1 species
GAUGAAGAACGCAGCGAAAUGCGAUAAGUAGUGUGAAUUGCAGAAUUCAGUGAAUCAUCGAAUCUUUGAACGCACAUUGCGCCCCUUGGUAUCCCGAGGGGCAUGCCUGUUCGAGCGUCAUUUCACCACUCAAGCCUGGCUUGGUGUUGGGCGACGUCCCCUUUGGGGACGCGCCUCGAAACGCUCGGCGGCGUGGCACCGGCUUUAAGCGUAGCAGAAUCUUUCGCUUUGGAAGUCGGGGCCCCGUCUGCCGGAAGACCUACUCGCAAGGUUGACCUCGGAUCAGGCAGGGAGACCCGCUGAACUUAAGCAUAUCAAUAAGCGGAGGA